GACAGAGGGUGCAAACGUUGUUCGGAAUUACUGGGCGUAAAGCGUGUGUAGGCUGCUCCGAUAGUCGGAUGUGAAAGCCCUGGGCUCAACCCGGGAAGUGCACUCGAUACUGUCAAGCUAGAGUAUCGGAGAGGUUGGUGGAAUUCUCGGUGUAGAGGUGAAAUUCGUAGAUAUCGAGAGGAACACCGGUGGCGAAGGCGGCCAACUGGACGAAUACUGACGCUGAGACUCGAAAGCGUGGGGAGCAAACAGG
rnacentral:rRNA from 1 species